UUUUGAGGUUGCACUGUUGCCCCAGGACAUCGUAUGAGUAGAGGGUUAACCACCUUAGCCAAGAGUAAUUUGGUCUGGUGAGUUCUCCACCUUCAGGACAAAAGCAUUUCAGAACCAUCCUAACAAUAGUGUUCCCAUAAGUAACCAGACACUGUUUGUAUCCAUAGCAACAUGGCUCCAUGAGCCCUGCUUCCGAGGAGCAGCUGCCCUUCCUGGGCACUGUCAAGAGUUGUUCUUCUCUGACAUCCACACCCUUCUUUACCUGGCACAUACCCCAGCCCAGGCACCAGGCAUCCAGGGCCUUCUAUGGCUGUCCGGAUGCAUUCCUUCACAGCUGGAAUGUGGUUGGCUUGUUGACUUCUGUUCCCAGCAUAGUGAACAGUGGGCACUAUAAGCCAGUAGGCACUCAAUUGAUGAUUCUUCAAUGAAAUAAUUGAUGCCACUUUUAGGUCAGUCUUUCUUGUACGUUACACCUUCUGUUGUUCAACAGAGCCCCACAAUAUCCCAGAACUUGGAGGUCUUAUCUCGGGGUUUCUCAGAUGUUGGAGUACCCAGGUAUCACCUGCUGAGCCAGUUUCCCUGGCCUCACCUGCAGGGGCUCUGAGUCAGUAAAUCUGGGGCAGGCCCAGUACUUUGCAUGUGAGCACAGACCCAGGUGUUUCUGAACCUGGUGGUCCAGGGACUGCUGCAGGAAGGAGCCAAUAGGACUGCAUGCCUUAGAGGCAGUGGGUCUCAUCCAUCCCUAUCUAUGGCACUGACUACAGGCCAUGUCCAGGCCACAUGGGCACAUGCUAUUAUAAUUAUUUUGUGUGAUGGAUGAGUUACAGAACUGGAGCCCUAAGACCUGAGUUCUAGUUUCAGCUCUGCCAGUUGCUGGCUGAUUGAAACUGAACAAGCCACCUGCCUUCCCUGAGACUGUCUCUUCUCCUGUGAAAUUAGGGCAUUAGAAUACAUGAAGACCCCUUUAUGUCCUUAAUAACCUGUAAGUUUAAGAACCUAGGGAAUCUCCAUGCUGGUGGCUGCGGUUAUAUCCCCUUAUCCUCAACUCGUGAAGAAAGAGUCAAAAAUGGCAGCAGGGUUGUGUCAACUGCUCUCCUCAGCAGCUAUCAUAAGGGAAUUGCCUUUGUCAUUUUCCCCAGCCAUCACCACACUCCCACACGGCCACCAUCACCUAAACCAUCUGGCAGUGGGGGUUACCUCCUAAAUCUAAGACGCAGAGACCCACCGCAGGCCUUUCUUUCUGGCUGCCCUCCACUCCCACCCAGAGGCUCAGUUUUGCUGGGCUGCACACCUCCGAGGACUCAGUUCUUUGUGUUUCAUGUUGUUUCAUAUCCACUAGUGUUACAGAAACUGCUGCAAACCAGGGACCAAAAGUCCAUAGGUUCUAAUUCUAGCUGUGACACUAGUGAGAUGAGUGACUGCUGGCAAGUUACUUUAUCUAUCUGACCUCACCUCCCAUGUACAAAAUUGGGUCUGUAUGCACAUUUGUGGUUCUAAAUCCUGGAGUCCAAAUCAGAGUUCUUUGUGCAAAAUAUACGUAGCUAGGUCCUAACCUCGGAGAUCCUGACUCAGUCUGGGGAAAGGCGCAGAUCUUGGGGAGAAAACAACUCUCUAGAAGAGUCUCGCCUUCAGUGAGUGACAAGAUCUCUCCUGUCUCUCGGUUCACAAUGUUACCCUAACUAAUCCAUCCUCUGAUGUCACCUGCUAACAACUUCCCCUGUGGCAUCAAACCAGUAGCCCAUUUGCAGCUAGUACAAACACUUCUUUACAUUUAAGUUUUGUUUACGAGAUUUAGCCUACAAUCAUAGAGGCUGCCAGCUGGGUUUCAAAUGUGUAUGUUCCAUUGCUAAUAGGAAAAACUGCAUCUAUUAGAAAAAUUCUCUCUGGGAGCUGAGCACAGAGGCAGGCCUUGUAUUGCAAACAUUUGAAAAGCCAUAAGCAGGUAUUCUGGACUGUGUUUUAGAUCACCUGAGAACAUUUCUUGAACACUAGUAUUUGCUUAGAGUGACAAACCUAUUAAGUGGUUCUUUCAGGUAAGUUUGCAUCCAAGCAAUGUCGUCUGAAUCGCAGGAGGAAGUCAGGAGUUGUGUCUGGCUUUCUGGCCAUACAAAUGGCAUAUGGGAAAGUCAUUGUAUAUUAUUAAUAUCCUUUGAUGUAUAUUAUUAUGACUUUCUCACGGUAGUAAUGUUGUUGGUUUUUAUUAAUGUUAUUUUUAUAGCAAUGCUAAUAUUAUGAGCUAAAAGUUUCUGAGCAUCUGCUGGGUGCCAAAAAUUCUUAUAAAUGCUUUACAUGCAUUAGCUCCUAACAACACUUUGAAGUAAUUCUUAUUGUCCUUACUUGACAUAUACAGGAAUAAAAACCUGACCAUUAGACCGAGCGUGGUGGCUCACGCCUGUAAUCCCAACACUUUGGGAGGCCGAGGCAGGCGGAUCACCUGAGGUCAGGAGUUUGAGACCAGCCUGGCCACCAUGGUGAGACCCCGUCUCUACUAAAAACACACAAAAAAUUAGCCGGGCGUGGUGGUGGGUACUUGUAAUCUCAGCUACCCGGGAGGCUAAUGCAGGAGAAUCGCUUGAACCCAGGAGGCGGAGGUUGCAGUGAGCCAAGAUUGCGCCAUUGCACUCCAGCCUGGGCAACAAGAGCAAAACUCUUUCAAAUAAACAAACAAAACCUAAGCAUUUGAGGGGUUUGGCCUGGGCAGUGGAGCUUGUGAGCUAUAUGAGCUGGAAUCUGAGUCAAGGCUGGGCUGGUGAAAGGAGUUCACUCAAGUUCCCAAGGUAUUCUGUCCUCCAGGACUCUGAAUCACCUGGGAGGAGAAGGAAUUGUGGCGGGCCUAACACCUUUUCUUUCCCAAACACCAAGAGCAGGUUCUUUCUGUUACAUCCAUUGAGGUCACAUUCUUGAAGUGCAUUUUGAGGAAGUCAUUAUUUUCGCUACAGCAGGGACUGAUGUAUCAGUCUAUUAGAAUUCAGAAAAAAGUAAGCAAACAAAAAACGUGUUGGAAUUAUUCUCUUCUAGCAUUUUGAAAUGUACAAUGGUUAAUGUUAACUAUAGCCACCAUGAUGUAUUGAAGACCAGGUCUUAUUCUUUUUAUCUAACUGUACAUUUGUACCCAUUAACCUAAUGCUCAUAGCAUCAAGAAAAGAUCAAUAUUUAAGGUGACAAAUAUCCCAAUUAUGCUGAUUUGAUUAUAUGAAUGUGUUGAAUUAUCAUAUGUACUCCCAAAAUAUGCACAUCUAAGAUGUAUCAAUAAAAAUAAAGACAAAAAUUAAAGCUUUUACAGUAGAAAAAA
ensembl:lncRNA SILC1 sciatic injury induced lincRNA upregulator of SOX11